rnacentral:rRNA from 1 species
GUCUGGCGGCGAGUGGCGAACGGGUGAGUAAUAUAUCGGAACGUGCCCAGUAGCGGGGGAUAACUACUCGAAAGAGUAGCUAAUACCGCAUACGCCCUACGGGGGAAAGGGGGGGAUCGCAAGACCUCUCACUAUUGGAGCGGCCGAUAUCGGAUUAGCUAGUUGGUGGGGUAAAGGCCCACCAAGGCGACGAUCCGUAGCUGGUUUGAGAGGACGACCAGCCACACUGGGACUGAGACACGGCCCAGACUCCUACGGGAGGCAGCAGUGGGGAAUUUUGGACAAUGGGGGAAACCCUGAUCCAGCCAUUCCGCGUGUGCGAUGAAGGCCUUCGGGUUGUAAAGCACUUUUGGCAGGAAAGAAAUCGCGCAAAUUAAUACUUUGCGUGGAUGACGGUACCUGCAGAAUAAGCACCGGCUAACUACGUGCCAGCAGCCGCGGUAAUACGUAGGGUGCAAGCGUUAAUCGGAAUUACUGGGCGUAAAGCGUGCGCAGGCGGUUCGGAAAGAGAGGUGUGAAAUCCCAGGGCUUAACCUUGGAACUGCACUUUUAACUCCCGAGCUAGAGUAUGUCAGAGGGGGGUGGAAUUCCGCGUGUAGCAGUGAAAUGCGUAGAUAUGCGGAGGAACACCGAUGGCGAAGGCAGCCCCCUGGGAUAAUAC